rnacentral:rRNA from 1 species
UAGAAGAAAGUAAGAAAGGGUACACGGGGGAUGCCUUGGCUCUCAGAGGCGAAGAAGGACGUGAUAAGCUGCGAUAAGCUGCGGGGAUUAGCAAAUAUGAAUUAAUCCGCAGAUUUCCGAAUGGGGAAACCUAGUUAUUUGAAGAAUAACUGCAUAAAUGCGCUAACCUGCCGAACUGAAACAUCUAAGUAAGCAGAGGAAGAGAAAACAAUAGUGAUUUCCAGAGUAGUGGCGAGCGAAAUGGAAGAAGCCCAAACCUGUUAUGUUACGGCAUAGCAGGGGUUGUAGGACCACAACAUGAAUAUUAAAUAGAACCGGAACGGGGUGGGAAACCCGGCCAUAGAGCAUGAGAGCUGCGUACGGGUAAUAGAUAAUAGGAUAGUGGUA